CUACAUCCAUGGCAGCUGCUGCCUACAAGACUCACAUGAACCACAUCACCAUAGAUUAUAACAUGUAAGCCUACUGGUUCAUUUAUUGGAAUGGGCAACCUGGGUAGCUAUCUAGGGUACAUUGCCAAGACCACUUGAGCCAUUGAGUAGUACAGUUGUGUGGACAGUACAGAUGAAUGUAUGUGUGCAUUCCUCUGCCCUGAUCAAAAUACCAGGUAGAAGAA